GACACAUCAGUUUACAGCAGGGGUAAUCAAACUUUUUUUCCUGGGGGCCACAUUAUGGUUCCGGAUGAUGAUGGGGGGCCAGUCCCACCUCAGCUG